rnacentral:miRNA from 1 species
UGAAUGUUCUGGAGGCCCGUGGC